UGUCCUGGAGACUGUCACACCUCUCCUUGCUGUUGAGACAAAUGUUUCUGAUGACUACACAACACCAGGCAGGUUAAACUGCACUGCAAAGGGAAGUGAACAAAACAGUUAAACAUUCCAACUUUUUAAUUUUUUUUUAAAGAAUUGUUAAGUGUAGAUUUUGCAUAUCACUAAAAAAAUAUUAAAAUGGAGGAAAUAUAUAAAACUAUGCAAGUCGUCCUAUCAUGAACUGAUUCCUAUGAUCAAUACUGUACUUUAAUAGCAAAUCCAAUAAUGUGUCUUAAAAUUCAGGUUGAAUUUGCAGAAACACUCUCUCCAACUAAGGUAGAAAAGGUAUAACUUUCACAGCACAUUCUUCCAAAAGCGCUGCCCCCAGACUUGAGGAAGCAGGUUGUAGAUGACAUCAUGACGUCAGCAGGAGCAGUCUGCAGAAGAUGGCUGGAAGGCAGGUCCACGCUGGUAGAACUUGAGCAAAACACAGUCCUGUCUGCCAUGCUGUGUGUGUGCAGUGGAGCUGUUGAGGGAAAGACCCUGGUGUUUGUGAUCAAUAAACCCUACUAGAAGCGAGCUUGACAGGAGACCCUUUAAGAAGAGGAGUUUGAGAAGGUGCUGCAUACAGCAGAACAUGCUUUGAAAACGCUGCAGGCACUGUUUCAGCAGACUCCAGCCCCAAACUGGACGGCAGCCAGAUUACAGUGGCUUGCAACACAGACACAGUUUAAACAACUGCAAAUUGCAAGGAUUGUAGUGAAUCUUGCACAGAAACUCUAAGUCAUUUUUAAGUGUUCCCACAUUGAAAUAAAUUGUACUUUUAUUUUCUUCUUUUAAUUACA